GACGAACGCUGGCGGCGUGCUUAACACAUGCAAGUCGAACGGAAAGGCCCUGCUUUUGUGGGGUGCUCGAGUGGCGAACGGGUGAGUAACACGUGAGUAACCUGCCCUUGACUUUGGGAUAACUUCAGGAAACUGGGGCUAAUACCGGAUAGGAGCUCCUGCUGCUUGGUGGGGGUUGGAAAGUUUCGGCGGUUGGGGAUGGACUCGCGGCUUAUCAGCUUGUUGGUGGGGUAGUGGCUUACCAAGGCUUUGACGGGUAGCCGGCCUGAGAGGGUGACCGGCCACACUGGGACUGAGAUACGGCCCAGACUCAUACGGGAGGCAGGAGUGGGGAAGAUUGCACAGUGGGCGGAAGCAUGACGCAGCAACGCCGCGUGCGGGGUGAGGGGCUUCGGGUUGUAAACCGCUUUUGUUUGUGACGAAGCGUUAGUGACGGUAAUGGGUAAAGAAGCACCGGCUAACUACGUG
rnacentral:rRNA from 1 species